rnacentral:rRNA from 1 species
AUGAACGCUAGCGACAGGCUUAACACAUGCAAGUCGAGGGGCAGCGGGGGUAGCGAUACCCGCCGGCGACCGGCGCACGGGUGAGUAACGCGUAUGCAACUUGCCUAUCAGAGGGGGAUAACCCGGCGAAAGUCGGACUAAUACCGCAUGAAGCAGGGGCCCCGCAUGGGGAUAUUUGCUAAAGAUUCAUCGCUGAUAGAUAGGCAUGCGUUCCAUUAGGCAGUUGGCGGGGUAACGGCCCACCAAACCGACGAUGGAUAGGGGUUCUGAGAGGAAGGUCCCCCACAUUGGUACUGAGACACGGACCAAACUCCUACGGGAGGCAGCAGUGAGGAAUAUUGGUCAAUGGCCGAGAGGCUGAACCAGCCAAGUCGCGUGAGGGAUGAAGGUUCUAUGGAUCGUAAACCUCUUUUAUAAGGGAAUAAAGUGCGGGACGUGUCCCGUUUUGUAUGUACCUUAUGAAUAAGGAUCGGCUAACUCCGUGCCAGCAGCCGCGGUAAUACGGAGGAUCCGAGCGUUAUCCGGAUUUAUUGGGUUUAAAGGGUGCGUAGGCGGCCUUUUAAGUCAGCGGUGAAAGUCUGUGGCUCAACCAUAGAAUUGCCGUUGAAACUGGGGGGCUUGAGUAUGUUUGAGGCAGGCGGAAUGCGUGGUGUAGCGGUGAAAUGCAUAGAUAUCACGCAGAACCCCGAUUGCGAAGGCAGCCUGCCAAGCCAUUACUGACGCUGAUGCACGAAAGCGUGGGGAUCAAACAGGAUUAGAUACCCUGGUAGUCCACGCAGUAAACGAUGAUCACUAGCUGUUUGCGAUACACUGUAAGCGGCACAGCGAAAGCGUUAAGUGAUCCACCUGGGGAGUACGCCGGCAACGGUGAAACUCAAAGGAAUUGACGGGGGCCCGCACAAGCGGAGGAACAUGUGGUUUAAUUCGAUGAUACGCGAGGAACCUUACCCGGGUUUGAACGCAUUCGGACCGAGGUGGAAACACCUUUUCUAGCAAUAGCCGUUUGCGAGGUGCUGCAUGGUUGUCGUCAGCUCGUGCCGUGAGGUGUCGGCUUAAGUGCCAUAACGAGCGCAACCCUUGCCACUAGUUACUAACAGGUAAAGCUGAGGACUCUGGUGGGACUGCCAGCGUAAGCUGCGAGGAAGGCGGGGAUGACGUCAAAUCAGCACGGCCCUUACAUCCGGGGCGACACACGUGUUACAAUGGCGUGGACAAAGGGAAGCCACCUGGCGACAGGGAGCGAAUCCCCAAACCACGUCUCAGUUCGGAUCGGAGUCUGCAACCCGACUCCGUGAAGCUGGAUUCGCUAGUAAUCGCGCAUCAGCCAUGGCGCGGUGAAUACGUUCCCGGGCCUUGUACACACCGCCCGUCAAGCCAUGGGAGCCGGGGGUACCUGAAGUCCGUAACCGCGAGGAUCGGCCUAGGGUAAAACUGGUGACUGGGGCU